rnacentral:rRNA from 1 species
CGGGAAUUUUGGGCAAUGGGCGAAAGCCUGACCCAGCAACGCCGCGUGAGGGAUGAAGUAUUUCGGUAUGUAAACCUCGAAAGAAUGGGAAGAACAAAUGACGGUACCAUUUAUAAGCUCCGGCUAACUACGUGCCAGCAGCCGCGGUAAUACGUAGGGUGCGAGCGUUAAUCGGAAUUACUGGGCGUAAAGGGUGCGCAGGCGGUCUUGCAAGUCAGAUGUGAAAGCCCCGGGCUUAGCCUGGGAAUUGCGUUUGAAACUACAAGGCUAGAGUGCAGCAGAGGGGAGUGGAAUUCCAUGUGUAGCAGUGAAAUGCGUAGAGAUGUGGAAGAACACCGAUGGCGAAGGCAGCUCCCUGGGUUGACACUGACGCUCAUGCACGAAAGCGUGGGGAGCAAACA